rnacentral:rRNA from 1 species
GACGAACCGUGCGAACGUUGUUCGGAAUCACUGGGCUUAAAGGGCGCGUAGGCGGGCACGCAAGUCAGGGGUGAAAUCCUCCGGCUCAACCGGAGAACAGCUUUGAUACUGCGUGCCUCGAGGGGGGGUAGGGCAUGUGGAACUUCCGGUGGAGCGGUGAAAUGCGUAGAUAUCGGAAGGAACGCCGGUGGCGAAAGCGACGUGCUGGACCCCUUCUGACGCUGAGGCGCGAAAGCCAGGGGAGCAACGGG